GAACAAUCUCUUCAUUUUGAAUCAAUGAAGAGAUGAUUUGAGAUCAUUGUUCAUUCCCUUUUCUAAAUUAUUCAUAGUCUGAGUUAAACUAGAGGCAAAAUAGAAGCAUCGUUAUGAAGCUUAAGUAACUUCACUUCUACAUUAUUUUAAAGGAGCUGCAUAAGCAUGUGGUUUUAUCGUGAUAACAAUCUACAAGGCAAACACAUGAUUUAACGUCUCUAUGCUUUGCAAAGCUAAUAUAAUUUAUUUUGUAUUAAUUGAAGGAGUGAUAGGGAAAGUUGAGAUAGGAUCUUCCUAUGUUCUCUGGGCUGACCUGAACUCAUAAUUCCCUAGCCUCAACCUCUCAAUUUCUGAGAUUGUAAACAAUAAAUGUUAUUUAGUAAAACAUAAAGGCAGGGACAUCAUGAGAUUGCAGUGAGUCUUGGCUGCAUAGUGAGAUCUAUUUCCAAAAUCUUGAAGCUCCUGAUAGUCAAGAAUGAUGGCUUUGGUGGUUUAAAGAAGAAAUGUCCUUGAUAAUCAGAGGUAUCAGUGGGCCUUGGUGGGUGACACUGUUUGAAAGGAGGAAUUGAGGAGUCUUUAGUGGGGUGGAGCCCUGCUGGAGGACAUGUACCACUGUGUAAGGAAUGGAUUAUGAGGCUCUACUCUGUAUGGGUGGUACUCAUAACUCAUCAAAAGGUAAGCAGUAGGCUACCAGGGUCCUCUUCAGGCAGUCUGCUACAUGACAGAGCUCACAAUCAGGAAGAGAGGCUGUCUCAAACCUAACAAUAUUCAUUACAUCAGGCUUUGAGGACCGAGAAUUUGAAAAGGUGCUAUGCUAGAAAAACAUCAAGAUGGUGAAUCUCUAAAGCAGUUGUGCUGAGGAUAAUAUGGAAGAUGGAGGCCUGGCACUAGAGGCUUUGGAGGGGAACAAUAUUAGUAACUGAGCUAAAGGCCACUUAUGUGAUAUUUUGGCAAAUAAAUAGGCUAUUUCGUAGGAAAAAAUAAGGUGCCCCAGGGCAGGACUCCUCCCAGCUAAACUUCCAACUUGUAGAAUGAAAAAGCCCAAGGGGUCACCUGCUCCUCCUAGAAGGCAAUUGCUUCAACACACAGAUGCUGCUGCUAACAUGGUGGAAAGUAGCUGAACUUGGCAGUGCCAUCCACAUGGCACUGGCUUUAGUGACAUGAAAGAUAGAAGAGUGAAAGGGUUAUGGGUUCUCCUCUCUGGUUUCAGACAGCCAUUGAGGGCAGGAAGCAAGUGGCAGAAGAGUUUCUGAAUGAAAUCCUGGAGAGGGCAGGAGAUCCAGAGAGGCCCUUGUGUCAAGCUGUGAUGGUAGAGUCUAUGUGGCAGUGUAGAUUCCAAGCUGUUGGAGAUUCCUGAGCCAUGAUAUAUCUACUAAGGAAUGUUGCAUACAGGGAACAGCUCUAGUCCAGGAGAAAGAUGUGUGUUUUAGGCACGUAGAACCAUCUAAGCCCUGUGAAAAUGUAGUCCAUGAGCUGUAGUACUACAGCUGCAGGAUUUGAUGCUUUCAUCUGACACAUCUGACAUUUUCUCACUAUGCUCCUCUCUCUCUCUCUCUCUCUCUCUCUCUCUCUCUCUCUCUCUCUCUCUCUCUGGUUUUUUGAGACAGGGUUUCUCUGUUUUGGCUGUCCUGGUACUCACUCUGUAGACCAGGCUGGCCUCGAACUCAGAAAUCUGCCUACCUCUGCCUCCCAAGUGCUGGGAUUAAAGGCGUGCGCCACCACUACCCAGCUUUUGUCCUCUUUUUAAGUCUUUCCAUGUAAAAGAAAAUAUUGUAAAAAGACGAUAGGUACUUUUAAAGAUUGAUGUAGUGUGAAGUGGAAACUUCACAUUUCUUUGGAAAGUUAGUUAUGUCAAUGAUGUUUUGCUAGGGCACACAGGUGAAAGGAUGUCUUGCUAAAGCAAACACAUGAAAGACUGUUUUCCUGAAGUGGACACAGGUGAAAGGAUGUUUGGAUAUAGCAAACACGUGAAAGGAUACUUGAUGAAGGAGUAUAACUAUGACCCCACAGAUAGUGGGAAACAAGCACUGAGUAUUGGUUUGGUUUGCUCUGCCUUGCUAUUCUUAGCUAAGACACACAUGCACUGGUUCACCUUACAUAGCAUUGUUGAGCUCAACUUGUGGUAGUGUCAUCAUUGAGAGAAACUUGCCCAAGAACUGCUCAUGGGGUUUAUGAGGUUCCUGUGGUAGCUGCCACUUCUGCUGCCUUGCCUUAGGCCAGGGGGUGAGCCUGGCGGUUUCUUCAGGGUUGAACUACAGCUGCCUGGUGUCUGCUUGCUGAAAGGACUGGACUAUAGCUGCUGGUUCCUGCCUGGUUCCUGCCUGCCUAAAGCACUGGUCUGCAGCUCCUGAGUCAUCUUUGGUGUUUGCUAUGGGACUGAACUUCUGCCAAAGAAGAUCAAGCUCACCCCCAAAGAACCAUUGCUGAACAGGUCCACUUCCCCCACAUCCUAAUAACUUUUCUCUUCCACCACCUCUGCUGGGUGAUGGGAUAGAGGAGAUACUGAAUCCUUAUUAAAAUCAGGUUGCAAAAAAAUGUCUGCCUACAGAAGUGCAUUUUGCAUUAUGAUAUAGCCACGCACCUGUGGAAGCCAAGGAGUAGAAUGCAGUGUUUUAAAUGAAAAAAUAUCAUCAAUAGGCUCCAAUAGUUGAAAACUUGGUUCCACCUUGUUGGUGCUGUUAGAGGAGAUAGUGCAGCAUUGCUAGAGAAGUAUGGCACUGAGGGUUCGCUUUGAGAUUUUAUAGCCUUGUAGAGAUGAUGGCUCAGUGGUUAAGAGCACUGAAUGCUCUUACAGAGAACCCAGGUUCAAGGACCACUUAUAGCCUAGGAAAACCUGAUGCCCUCUUCUGGCCUCUGUGAGCACUGAAGACACAUGGUACAGUCAAAGUACCAAUUCAGAGAGAGAGAGAGAGAGAGAGAGAGAGAGAGAAUAUGCUUUCUUCAUUUUGUGCUUAUGGUUAACAACUUGUUCUCAGCUUCCUGCUUUGACUGCCUACUGCCUGUUCUCAUGCCUCCCAAUUCUCUGUGAAGCCAUAAUACAAAAUAGACUCUUUUAUAGUUUGAUUUUGUCCAUGGUGUUUAUCAUAAUAACAAAAGACUAGCUAAUCAGCAGUAUACUCUCAUGAUUUCAACAUUCUGGAGGCUGAGUCCUUCACGUGAUGAGUAGAUGAUGUAGUAUGAAUAUAUAAUGGAGCUCAAUUCAGCUGUAAAGAAAAAUAAAAAUGUAUUUUCAGGAAAAUAGAUGAACCUGAAGAUAGCCUGAGUGUACAGCCCAGUCCCAGAAAGACAAAUUGUCUAGGUCCUUUAGUCAUUACAGGUUAUAAUGGAAUGCCCAAAAUGAUAUAGCUCCUUUUGAUGAUGUAUUGUGAGGGCUAAAGUUAUGUUGUAAGUUUAAAUUGUUGUUCUUAGGAGAUAUAAAAAAAAAUGCCUUUAACCUGUAAGUCCCACUUGCCCAAGGGCAGAUAACUUUCUGGAAUCCAAGGUGUGUGGAGGGGAGUGGUGUUCAUGAAAAAUAACAAGUUUUCACUUCUGUAAGUAAGGUUGGUUGCCCCCACUACAUGUGCUUGAUCAUAUGUGGGUGGGAGGUACACAGGCAGGAACUAUGUCAGGAUGUAUGUUUGCCCCUGAUUGGAUGAAGGCGGGAGAAACAAAGCCUUGUGAGAUUUGCCUUUAUAAGCACCAGACUGUUGUAAUUCACAACCAUUCUCCGGGAAUCCUGGGUCUGGGUCUGGGUAUGUGCAUCACCCUUACUAGUAUUUGUCAAUAUUUAAUAAAUUUUGCUUCAAAUUUGGUUUAAAAUUGUGGUUCUGAUGUUAUUCUCAUGGAAUUAACAGUACAUGUUGGGGUCAGGAUUAUCCAGAGUGCAUCUCUUUACAUCAAUGCUUUGCGUUAUAAAUCUGUUUUCCAACCCUUCACUCACAAUUUCUUGGGCCAAUGGCUUUCUUUAAUGCUGAUCAGGGAAUCUACUUCUUCAUAUAAAAUAUUAUAUAUACUGCAGCAAAGUAGAAAUAGUAGACAUAAAAAGUGAAAAGAGCCACUCACUCCAGUAUCUUGAUGAAGUCUCAAUCUGAGAGUAAAGAAUUUCAAGACAAUUAUUAAAAUUUGCUGUGAAGGUUGCCUAAACAGAGAUAGUAUUUCUUUUAUAUAGACACUUCAAAUAAGGAUGUUAAAAUAGCAAGAAACCACACUUAAGACCCAAGUGUGUUUUGGGCGAGGUGACAUUCCUUAGAAACCCUACAAACAAUGCAAUUUCAAAGCCUAAAAAGUCCUACCUACAACUAUCACUAAGACCCUUAAAUGUAAGUCUCUUGAAAAGCCCACAUUUGUGCUUGGGUUGUAUGCAAUCUUUUCCCUGGGUGCCUUUCUAGUGAUCAUCAAGUUUAAAUCUAUGCUAAAACCUUCAUCAUGAACUCUAGGCUUCAUGCUGGUUUGUCCUGACAUUCUUUUUCUGCAACACAGUCAGGAAACCUAUGCAUAGCUCAUGUUUCUCUUAAUCCCACUGGUUGAAAAUAAGACCACUUCCACAAUUUAAAGCCUAAUUUGAAGCAAACACUAAUUAAAUACUGGCCAGGUUGAUGGACUCUCUAGCCAGGUCCAUCUCUGGGUUUCCAGAAAAUGUCCCCAAGACAUGGUUUGCAGGGACUUAGAAAGGUUAAAUCCACAAUUCACCCAGAUCUCUUCAGGUCCAAUCAGGAGCAAGCGUACAUCCUUCCAUAUUUCCUGUGUGUGUACUUCCCACUUACAUUCAAUCAGUGGCCAGCACACUUCCUGCCCAUGUGGAAUGAAGCAUGUCUAGUGUAACCAAACUUGUUUAGAAGAGUGAAACUAUGUGGCUUAUUAUCUCUCGUAAGCAACAGCCGCCAGCAUCUCAGGAAGCGUCCUUCCUUGGACAGGGGCUUACAGGUCAGAAGCAUCUUUAUUUCUUUGACCUCUUGGCACAGUAACUAAAACUAAAACAUAAUUUGGAUCUUACAUUUCCUCUUUCUUUAUUGGGAGUUUAUAUAAAUGAUGUAAACCUUUUGACCAGAUUUCCAGAAUGUUCUGAAACAUGAUCUUUCACACAGCAGUUUCAUAGCCUUGCAUCCCUCUAAGGGAUCUCUUGCAAUAAAAUCUGUUAUCAUCGAUGUCCCAGAGGAGUUAUGCUUUAUUUAAUUAAAAAUCAGAAAUGAACUAUUGAUCAAACAAAACAAAAUGAAAUAUUACUUAAGGGCCUGAAAAAUAUCAUUUUAUUUCUAGGAACGAACGAUUGUUCUUUUUGUUCAAACACUAAGUGUAUUAAAUAUAGAAAGUAGACUCAGCAAGCGUAUCACAUGAACAAACUAAUAACGGACUAGAUAGGAAAACAUUAGUUCAGAAAGAGCUCCCAGCACUGCUUCUCCCACUCAAAGCACUUAGAAGAGUUAACAGUAUUUCAUCUUAAUCCUCGUGUAGUGGUACAAGGUUGUGAUCACAGCUUGGAAAAGAGGCAGGAGGAUUGCACUUUAAAGACAACCAAAAGACCAUGUCUCAAUACCAACUUAAAAAAAAUUCAGUCUUGCUGUUUUCUAAAAUGUAGAACAAAAAAUUUUCUUAUGUUGUAAAGGUCAAACGAGAUGAACAAACUGAAUUCUGGCUUUGUGCAAUACUCGCACUCUGCCCAGAACGACCCAGGCUUCUUGAUUAAGGGUGUGAAACACAAGCUACUCUCAGUGUUGAGAUCCUGGGCCAGCCUUCUACAUCCUUUAGGUUUCCCAGAGGAGAACUCUUUCUUCCCUAGCCUGAGGCCUCUUUAAUGUAGUGAAUUCCAUAGGAGAGCUAGAUGACGCUUGCCCACGUGGACAAGCCGCCAGCUGAUUUAUUAAAGACAACCAUCCAAAGUCAGAGAAAGAAAUCCCACUCACACCCAGGAACUGUCAAGUGGGAAGUUUGACUUAACCAUUCUUAUUAAGAAUGUACUAGUGUUUGCUUCCUCGUUUGCAAUAUCAUGGCGGAGCUGCUUGCAAGCACCCAUAGCUCAACCUCUAACCACUCUUUACUUCACAUGGGUCUGCUUUUCACUUAUUUGCAGAAUGGAAGGCAUAUUCUUACCGAGAAACCCCAAGUGAGGGUGUAUGCACGGUCAACCUUCAAUUCACUCAGAGCCCAGCCAGUUUGCACUGCAGCCAUAUUCUUGGCCCUAUUUGCUUUUUCAUUUCAAGAAUGUGCAUAAUGUUCACUCCUGCUUUAUGUUACCUGUUUCUGCACAAGGUUUGGAUGACCCAAUCCAUUCUCCUUGGUUUACUAACCUCACAUACCACCUUUGGGUGCUGACUUUGGGAUCUUUCCUUCCUAAGCUACAACACUCCCUCCAGCAGAUCUCCACGGCUUAGCUGUCCUGAGGAGAACACAGUCUCCCACAGUACACUCUAUAAACCUGAUUGUGCUGCUGCUGCUGCGUGUGCUGUCAUUCAACCCUGCAGCAAAGAUAAAUUGGUUUUGGACCACAUUUGAACUCUCACCUCCAAGAUUGGGUUCCUGGCUGUCAGUGGUUUCAAUGUCCUAUCCUCCUAAGAAAGGAAUAAAUCCUACUAACAUGAUACUAAUACUUGCCUGUGAAUACUCCCAUAAUCUCCAAAACCAGGAGUCAUUAUUCACUGGCAUUUGUUAUGUAUUGAAUUCAUUUAUUAGCUUACUCAGGAACUUUCUCACAAUAUUACUUGGCUUGCUCUUUUGACCACUUAUUAAUUCUUCCUUCUGGUGAGUGUCACAUUAAUGUCAUGUCUCUGCCUAGAAUUUGAAAGCCUUGAGAGCAAGAACUCUUGAUGGACUAUGCAGAUAAUUUCACCGUAUUUACUCCAGUGAUUCAGUUUUAGACACUCUAAAAUAUGACUGCUUAUAUUUUAUAUUUUAAACAUAAUAAAACAGCAACACUUAGUGCAUUUUGUCAAGGAAACUUAAACUGAAUUGUUGCUUAUUUCCUUUCAACCAUUUCUAUGAUACUAUAAGUUUUUACAGUUUUCUUUUUCCGUUUAAAGAAAAAAACAUUUCGAGAUGGGAUCUUAUUGUGUUUCCCCAAUCUGCCUGCUUCAGCAUCUCCAGUACUAGGCUCAUGUGAGUGGUCUAUGGUGCCUAAUCCCACAUUAAACUUUUUAAUUAAAAAGCUAACAGACCAAUGUUAAGGGGGUGGUGAUAGCGGGACAGAAGUGAAUAUAGCUGUCAGGGAGUACCUCUAAGUAUCACAAGGCUGAAUAAUUUUUAAAAAUGUAUGUGGUUUUUGUCAAUAGUCCUUGGCACUGAGUUUCAGAAACCUUUGGUCUCAGUGGUGGAAAUUGUUGUUUAUAAUAAAUUGGUCCUUUAAAAAUCAUUAAAAAUGCCUAGCAAUUUUAUUAGAAGACAUGGAGGUCUCUGUUAAAAACGAGGUAACACAGAAUGUGGACACAGCAAGGUGGUUCCUUCAAAGGAAGAAAUACCUGUUACCUGUUACCUGCUCAGAAGGCUGAGAGGGGAGUGCAUUUUAGCCUUUGUCCUAUGUAUGUGCCUAGAGAUCACAUCAGACCCUUCCUCAGACUCUUAUCAUCAGCUUGUUUUUAUCAGUCAGUCUAUAGACCCUGUCUUGGUGGAAGGUGUGAGACCAAAAAAAGACAGAGAACAAUAAACCUUGCAAGUUAAUGGGAGACCAUGGUUCUGUUUGCAGUUAAGACAGGAACGAGUUCUGCCUGUUCUGUGUUUGACCCAUUUGCACUGAGAGUGCUUGAUCACACGCUGGCAGGAGAUACAUGAGCAGGAAAUAUGUCAGGAAAAAUGCUUGCCCCUGACUGGACCUGAUGGAAAAUGAGUUGAGUUGUGGGUUUUGUCUUUUGUAAGCCCAUGCAAGACAUGAGUUGGGGUUAUUUUCUGGGAACCCAGAGAUGGACCUGGCUAGAGAGUCUAUCAAUCUGGCCAGAAUUUAAUCAAACCUUGCUUCAAAUUUGGCCUUAAAUUGUGUUAGUGAUCUUAGUCUCUACCAGUAGGAUUAACAAAGAUAAAACAUAUACUUUACAAAGAAUUUCCAUGUGGUCAUGUCUUAUCUUUAUUUAGCUUACCUUGUUCCUUAAAGAGAUUUAUGACUGCUUUGUUGUGCACAGGGGGUUGAGCUAACACUCACCAGAAAGCUUUUCACUAAAUUGUGCUGUUAUUAAUAUACCUAAAAUAAACUUUUCCUGGCUUCUGUAUCAGCUCCUGCUUCCAGGUGCCUUCCCUGUUUGAUUUCUGAUCCUGGUUUCCUUCAAUGAUGGACGACAAUGUGGUGGUGUAAGCCAAAUAAACGCUUCCCUCUUCAACUUGCAAAAUAGGUCAUGGUGCUUUAUUGCAGCAAUAGAAACCUUAACUAAGAUACCUAGCCAGGGAGUGUUAUAUUUUUUCAUUUUACCCUCCCAUUAAUUCAUGAGUGAUAAGUCUGGUUACUAUUAUACAUUUUUAUAGGUUAGGACUCUGAGGUAAAAGGCUCUCUUGAAGUCAAAGUCCAGCUAUCUAAUUCAUGCAGUCACAGUGUUCUCAAGUGUGAAAAAGGUUUUUUGUAUGUUUGUUUGUUUGAAAGUGAAAGGUAACCGCCUUAGCAGGGAGAAAUCUCAGAGACUCAAUGGGGAAGUAAAAGUAUAUUGAACAGCUCUGUUGCUCAUCUGUCAAUUAUUUUUGUUCUACCCCAUCUUUCUGCCACUACAGUGAGACACUUCUGACCAGUUCUGAGGAGAUCUGUCUCACUUAGACCAGCCACCUCCAAUGUGUAGAAAUACCCGUGGGAAUUGAUCUGUAUCUAUGCAUGCACAUUGCAGAUGUCUGCAGUGGACCCUUGAUUGUCUAGUGAGAGGCAGAAGCCAGCGUUUGAAAAGCACCAAUUGAUAUAUUUCCAGCUAUCUGAUGGUUGGAUCUUUAGGAACAAUCCUGAAUAUCAAUAAUGUUCCACUGGACGAUUUCACACUGAGGAGUGUUUGGGAAGCAUAUAUUGGACUCGACAGCAGCCUGGCAUGGUUGUCUUCUGAGAAGCUCUACCAGCACCUGACUAAGACAGAUGUGGAUGCUCGCAGCCAACCACUGAACUGAG